rnacentral:rRNA from 1 species
GAUGAACGCUGGCGGCGUGCCUAAUACAUGCAAGUCGAGCGAAUGGAUUAAGAGCUUGCUCUUAUGAAGUUAGCGGCGGACGGGUGAGUAACACGUGGGUAACCUGCCCAUAAGACUGGGAUAACUCCGGGAAACCGGGGCUAAUACCGGAUAACAUUUUGAACCGCAUGGUUCGAAAUUGAAAGGCGGCUUCGGCUGUCACUUAUGGAUGGACCCGCGUCGCAUUAGCUAGUUGGUGAGGUAACGGCUCACCAAGGCAACGAUGCGUAGCCGGCCUGAGAGGGUGAUCGGCCACACUGGGACUGAGACACGGCCCAGACUCCUACGGGAGGUAGCAGUAGGGAAUCUUCCGAAAUGGACGAAAGUCUGACGGAGCAACGCCGCGUGAGUGAUGAAGGCUUUCGGGUCGUAAAACUCUGUUGUUAGGGAAGAACAAGUGCUAGUUGAAUAAGCUGGCACCUUGACGGUACCUAACCAGAAAGCCACGGCUAACUACGUGCCAGCCGCCGCCGUAA